CCUUCCUCCCAGAGUGGCUCACCAGAAGCCCCAACCUCAACACCAGCAACUGGCUGUACUGUUGGCUUUACCUGUUUUUUUUUAACGGUGUGUGGGUUCUGAUCCCAGGACUGCUACUGUGGCAGUCAGUUGUAAAGUGUGUAGCAAUGUCCCUUUCGCGCUCUCUUCCUCUUGCUCCGGCCAUGUAGGAAGUGCCGGCUUCACCUUGCCUUCCGCCAUGAUUGUAAGUUUCCUGAGGCUUCCCCUAGCCAUGCCUCCUAUACAGCCUGCAGAACCCUGAGCCAAUUAAACCUCUUUUCUUAUAAAUUACCCAGUCUCAUUAUUUUAAAAUUAUUAAAAUCGAUGUGCUGUUUUUCUUGUUUGUUAUGAACACUUGAGUUUGACUCUAAAGAGAAGUUAUUUAUAAAGAGAAUAAUUGGGCAAAGCCUUGCAUGAGAAAAGGUUAACUGUUAUUAUCCUUAAUUGUUAUUAAAUGCCCUCUGUUCAGGAGC
rnacentral:lncRNA from 1 species